AUUGAACGCUGGCGGCAGGCCUAACACAUGCAAGUCGAACGAGUGGCGGACGGGUGAGUAAUGUCUGGGAAACUGCCCGAUGGAGGGGGAUAACUACUGGAAACGGUAGCUAAUACCGCAUACCAUCGGAUGUGCCCAGAUGGGAUUAGCUUGUAGGGGUGGUAACGGCUCACCUAGGCGACGAUCCCUAGCUGGUCUGAGAGGAUGACCAGCCAGACGGGAAAUGAGACACGGUCCAGAGUCGUACGGGAGGCAGCAGUGGGGAAUAUGGCACAAUGGGCGCAAGCCUGAUGAAGCCAUGCCGCGUGUAUGAAGAAGGCCUUCGGGUUGUAAAGCACUUUCAGCGGGGAGGCGUUACACGCAGAAGAAGCACCGGCUAACUCCGUGCCAGCAGCCGCGGUAAUAC
rnacentral:rRNA from 1 species